rnacentral:rRNA from 1 species
UACGUAGGGUGCAAGCGUUAAUCGGAAUACUGGGCGUAAAGCGUGCGCAGGCGGUUAUGUAAGACAGUUGUGAAAUCCCCCGGGCUCAACCUGGGAACUGCAUCUGUGACUGCAUAGCUAGAGUACGGUAGAGGGGGAUGGAAUUCCGCGUGUAGCAGUGAAAUGCGUAGAUAUGCGGAGGAACACCGAUGGCGAAGGCAAUCCCCUGGACCUGUACUGACGCUCA